rnacentral:rRNA from 1 species
GAUGAACGCUGGCGGCGUGCCUAAUACAUGCAAGUCGAGCGAACAGACGAGGAGCUUGCUCCUCGGACGUUAGCGGCGGACGGGUGAGUAACACGUGGAUAACCUACCUAUAAUACUGGGAUAACUUCGGGAAACCGGAGCUAAUACCGGAUAAUAUAUUGAACCGCAUGGUUCAAUAGUGAAAGACGGUUUUGCUGGCACUUAUAGAUGGAUUCGCGCCGCAUUAGCUAGUUGGUAAGGUAACGGCUUACCAAGGCAACGAUGCGUAGCCGACCUGAGAGGCUGAUCGGCGACACUGGAACGUGGACAGCCACAAGGCUCCUGCGAGACGGCGCAGUAGGGAAUCUGACGCAAUGGUCGAAAGCAUGGCGCAGCGACGGCGAGUCAGAUGUAGAGGUGUUCGGAGCGUAAUAACCUGUUAUUAGGGAAGAACCACUGUGUAAGUAAAUAUGCCGGUAUUGACGGUAACUAAUAAGAAAGCAACGGCUAACUACGUG